rnacentral:rRNA from 1 species
UACGUAGGGUGCAAGCGUUGUCCGGAAUUAUUGGGCGUAAAGAGCUCGUAGGCGGUCUGUCGCGUCUGCUGUGAAAACUCGGGGCUUAACCCCGGGCCUGCAGUGGGUACGGGCAGACUAGAGUGCGGUAGGGGAGACUGGAAUUCCUGGUGUAGCGGUGAAAUGCGCAGAUAUCAGGAGGAACACCGGUGGCGAAGGCGGGUCUCUGGGCCGUAACUGACGCUGAGGAGCGAAAGCAUGGGGAGCUAACAGG